rnacentral:rRNA from 2 species
UGGGGAAUAUUGGGCAAUGGGCGAAAGCCUGACCCAGCAACGCCGCGUGAAGGAAGAAGGUCUUCGGAUCGUAAACUUCUGUCCUAAGUGAAGAGAAGAAGACGGUAGCUUAGGAGGAAGCCCCGGCUAACUACGUGCCAGCAGCCGCGGUAAUACGUAGGGGGCAAGCGUUGUCCGGAAUGAUUGGGCGUAAAGGGCGCGUAGGCGGCCUGUUAAGUCUGGAGUGAAAGUCCUGCCUUCAAGGUGGGAAUUGCUUUGGAUACUGAUGGGCUUGAGUGCAGGAGAGGUUAGUGGAAUUCCCAGUGUAGCGGUGAAAUGCGUAGAGAUUGGGAGGAACACCAGUGGCGAAGGCGACUAACUGGACUGUAACUGACGCUGAGGCGCGAAAGUGUGGGGAGCAAACAGG